GCUGAGAGUGAUGAAAGUUAUAGGAAGGAGAACGGGACAUUUAACACAUUCAUCUUCCUUAAAGAACACUCUGGGCACCAUAACAACUUCAUUUAAAUGAAGUUGUUAUGGUGCCAGUAGGUCCCUGGUGCUGACUUACCUGUAGGGGUUAAACCAUUCAUGAGCAGUUUAAACCUAUAGACUCCUUGCCAGCUCUUUUUUACUCGG